rnacentral:rRNA from 1 species
UACGUAGGGGGCAAGCGUUGUCCGGAAUCAUUGGGCGUAAAGAGCGUGUAGGCGGCCUGGUAAGUCCGCUGUGAAAGUCCAGGGCUCAACCCUGGAAUGCCGGUGGAAACUGUCAGGCUCGAGUCCGGAAGAGGCGAGUGGAAUUCCUGGUGUAGCGGUGAAAUGCGCAGAUAUCAGGAGGAACACCAAUGGCGAAGGCAGCUCGCUGGGACGGUACUGACGCUGAGACACGAAAGCGUGGGGAGCAAACAGG